AACGUAGGAGGCAAGCGUUAUCCGGAGUUACUGGGCGUAAAGCGCAUGUAGGCGGUUGGGUAAGUGGCGUGUGAAAGCUCCCGGCUAAACUGGGAGAGGACAGGUCAGACUGCCGAACUGGAGUCCGAUAGAGGAGCGUAGAAUUCCGGGUGUAGCGGUGAAAUGCGUAGAUAUGCGGAGGAACACCGAUGGCGAAGGCAAUCCCCUGGGCCUGCACUGACGCUCAUGCACGAAAGCGUGGGGAGCAAACAGG
rnacentral:rRNA from 1 species